rnacentral:rRNA from 1 species
UACAGAGGGUGCAAGCGUUAAUCGGAAUUACUGGGCGUAAAGCGUGCGUAGGUGGUUGAUUAAGUUAUCUGUGAAAUCCCUGGGCUUAACCUGGGCAGGUCAGAUGAUACUGGUUGACUCGAGUAUGGGAGAGGGUAGUGGAAUUUCCGGUGUAGCGGUGAAAUGCGUAGAGAUCGGAAGGAACACCAGUGGCGAAGGCGGCUACCUGGCCUAAUACUGACACUGAGGCACGAAAGCGUGGGGAGCAAACAGG